UACGUAGGUGGCAAGCGUUGUCCGGAUUUAUUGGGUUUAAAGGGUGCGUAGGCGGCCCUGUAAGUCAGUGGUGAAAUAUCUCAGCUUAACUGAGAGGGUGCCAUUGAUACUGCGGGGCUUGAGUACAGAUGAGGUAGGCGGAAUUGACGGUGUAGCGGUGAAAUGCAUAGAUAUCGUCAAGAACACCGAUAGCGAAGGCAGCUUACUAAGCUGUAACUGACGCUGAGGCACGAAAGUGUGGGGAUCAAACAGG
rnacentral:rRNA from 1 species